rnacentral:lncRNA from 1 species
AUGAGCCCGGGCGAGGGCCGCCAGAGCUGGCUUUUCCUGGUGGGGCCCUCGGAGGGGAAGCAGGUGGCGGGCGGCGCCCCGGCAUGCUCAAGUGCCAGAAAAGAUGCUCAUCAUUCCCGACUCGGCUGUGAGGGCCACAGCGGGAGAAGCUCGGAGCCAGAGCCCUGUCCAGCGUCUCAGGCCCCGGGGAUGGGGGAGCGGCGCGGCAGGCCGUCGGAAUGGCCCCUUCCUCCGGCCCAAGCAAGUGCUAGGAGCGGCUCCCCUCCCGCUGGGCUCCCAGGCUGGGCCGCUGCAUUCAGCACCACAGACUCCCGGACAGCUCCGAAGGGCCGCCCUUUUCUCCGCGGCCGCCCCUUUCUUGCCCCAACCACGCCGGGCGCGAGGGGCGGCCGCCGUGCCAUGGCCGGGAGGGCCGGGAAGCCAGAGCUGCCCCCCUGCUCUGCUUCUCUGGGCUCGGGCAGCUUCGGGCCGGGCUUCUGCUUCGUGGAAGACGCCUUUCCGACCUGCACGUCGCCUCUGAGCUGCAGCCUGGCCCGGGCUCGGGGCCUCACAGCGCCCCCCCGAGGCCACCCAACGGGAGCCCAGUUGGCGAAGUGCCGCCGCCGGGGUCCCCCCGAGCCAGCCCCAGGUAGGGGGCGCCCCAACAAGCCCCUACUAGUACUGGGCGGCGGGAGACGGGGUGGCCCCGGGAAAGCUCUGGCGGCCGAGGCCAGGAGGCUGGGAGAGGACUUGCUGCAUCUGGGCGGCGAGAGGAGGAGGACGGAGGGAGAAGCGUGGAGCAGGAGUCCCGGCUCUCGGGGAGGGCGUUCGUCCCAGGCUAGCUGCGGGGGCCGACAAGCCAGAGGCUGGCGGCGCAUGUGGGCGCGCCCCGCAGCGGGGGUCUCCCUCCCCCUCCCUCCCCACUCCAGGAUCUCAGGGUCCUGCCCGUCAGGCCUCCCACCUCCUUCCUCUAGCCCCGUGCCCGUAGGACCAUGCCAGCCUCCUGGCCUUUGCCCGCGGAGCCCAGUACGGACUGGGGUAGUGAGGACAGAGCCAGACUGA